rnacentral:rRNA from 1 species
UGUAUGCCUUCGAUGGUGAUUGGACUUGCUCCAUGAGCUAUUGAAGGUCGCAGGUAAUCGGUGGCUGCGACUGUUUAUCAAAAACACAGGACUCUGCGAACACGUAAGUGGAAGUAUAGGGUCUGACGCCUGCCCGGUGCCGGAAGGUUAAUUGAUGGGGUUAGCGCAAGCGAAGCUCUUGAUCGAAGCCCCGGUAAACGGCGGCCGUAACAAUAACGGUCCUAAGGUAGCGAAAUUCCUUGUCGGGUAAGUUCCGACCUGCACGAAUGGCGUAACGCUGGCCACACUGUCUCGACCAGAGACUCAGUGAAGUUGAAAUCGCUGUGAAGAUGCGGCGUUCCCGCGGAAAGACGGAAAGACCCCGUGAACCUUUACUACAGCUUUACACUGAACUUUGAACCUUCCUGUGUAGGAUAGGUGGGAGGCUUUGAAGCCUGAGCGCUAGCUCAGGUGGAGCCAACCUUGAAAUACCACCCUGGAAUGUUCGGAGUUCUAACCUUGGUCCGUAAUCCGGAUUGGGGACAGUGUAUGGUGGGUAGUUUGACUGGGGCGGUCUCCUCCCAAAGAGUAACGGAGGAGUGCAAAGGUACGCUCAGCGCGGUCGGUCAUCGCGCUCUAGAGUGCAAAGGCAUAAGCGUGCUUAACUGUGAGACGGACAUGUCGAACAGGUACGAAAGUAGGUCUUAGUGAUCCGGUGGUUCUGUAUGGAAGGGCCAUCGCUCAACGGAUAAAAGGUACUCCGGGGAUAACAGGCUUAUUCCGCCCAAGAGUACACAUCGACGGCGGAGUUUGGCACCUCGAUGUCGGCUCAUCACAUCCUGGGGCUGUAGCAGGUCCCAAGGGUAUGGCUGUUCGCCAUUUAAAGUGGUACGCGAGCUGGGUUCAGAACGUCGUGAGACAGUUCGGUCCCUAUCUUCCGUGGGCGUUGGAAACUUGAGGGUGAGCUGUCCUUAGUACGAGAGGACCGGGAUGGACGUAUCUCUGGUGUUCCGGUUGUCACGCCAGUGGCACUGCCGGGUAGCUAUAUACGGACGGGAUAAUCGCUGAAAGCAUCUAAGCGAGAAGCCCCCCCCAAGAUUAGGUUUCCCUGGGAGCUUGACUCCCCUAAAGGGCCGUCGAAGACUACGACGUUGAUAGGUUGGGUGUGUACAGGUAGUAAUAUCUUGAGCUAACCAAUACUAAUUGCCCGUGAGACUUGACC